UACGUAGGUGGCGAGCGUUGUCCGGAAUUACUGGGUGUAAAGGGAGCGCAGGCGGGGAAACAAGUCAGCUGUGAAAACUAUGGGCUUAACCCAUAAACUGCAGUUGAAACUGUUUUUCUUGAGUGGAGUAGAGGUAGGCGGAAUUCCGAGUGUAGCGGUGAAAUGCGUAGAUAUUCGGAGGAACACCAGUGGCGAAGGCGGCCUACUGGGCUCUAACUGACGCUGAGGCUCGAAAGUGUGGGGAGCAAACAGG
rnacentral:rRNA from 1 species